CAUAUGCUAGGAUUAGAGGUGUAAGCCACCUCUCCCACAAGACAUUUCUCUAGCAGGACCAGCAGGGGAAUUAUCUAGAAAACACUGAUGAGGAUCAGAUGGUGCCACUGGUGCAUUCCAACCAACAUUUGAAGAAGAAUUAACAGCAAUGCAUCUUCAUUCCAUCAUUCAUCCUGUGAAACCAGCCUUAACCUGAAUCGGAGUCCUGAAAAAGAUAUCUCGGGAAAGUCAAGCUACCGGCCAGUCUCUGUUGGGAAUAUAGACUUGAAGGUUCCCAGCAUAGUUCUAAUGGAUAAAAUUCAGCAGCACAUUAAAAGGGUUAUACACCAUGACCAAGUGGGUUUAUCCCCAAAGGCAAAGUUGGUUCUAUAUACACAAGUGGGAACUCAAAUGCUACUGUACACGAUGCUCACAACAGCGUUAAUAAGAAUAGCCCGAAGUUAGAAGCAGUCUGCUCACCAGCGGGUAAGGCGAUUUGAAGAUUGGUGCAUCAAUACAAGGGAAGAGCCAUCAGUCACAAGAAGGAAUGAAAUUCUGAAACAUGCUAUGACACUGUAGACAGCACCGUGCUGAGUGAAACAAACUGGACACCGAAGGACAGAUGCGGUAAGAUGGUCCUGUCCUUGUUAAAUUUUGUCACUUGAUGAAAGCUAGAGUCAUCUGGGAAGAUGGAACCUCAGUUGAGGAAAUGCCCCAAUUAGAUCAGCCUCUAGGCAAGUUUGAGGGGCACUUUCUUGGUUAAUGAUUGAUUUGGG
rnacentral:lncRNA from 1 species